rnacentral:autocatalytically_spliced_intron from 1 species
GGAUUCCCGUCGAGCAAGAACUAGCCAUUCACUCGUAGCGAGUCUUGGAGGGCUAAAGGUAACUUUAGUCUUUAAGCGUAGACAGUUAGGUGACGGGCCGAAAGCCGAAUGGUCAAUUCGUGAAUAAGUUGCAACUUUUCUAAACAACUUAAGAAGUAUACAAAUUAGAAGAAGGUGUAUUAUGGCGAAAAAUAGUUAUCGGUCAUUCACUA